ensembl:lncRNA
ACACCUGGGGUGGGGGGGUGCUCAGGUGGACACCUCUGAGAAUGUUGGGAGAUGAGCUUGAAGUCGAGGUGGGAGUGACGGACACAGGCCUCACUCGCCGUUUGAGAAUCAGGCUGGAAAGUGAAGUGUUCACACCUGUCUUUGAAGACUGUGAGCUGAAAAGGCAGAGUGGAGGCGGGAAAGGCUGGGACAGCCUGUGGUUCCAGGUCCUGAGGGGCCUGGGGUGCAUGCUUGGCAGGUUGGGGCGGGAGGAGAAACAGCUGGUGGGGAGGGGACUGGCCCAGUGCGGGGCCUGAGACACUGUCCAGCUCAGGCGCCCGGGCGCAGGCGGAAGGAGCGAGCCUGGGGCUGGAGGUGCGCAGGCUGAGCCUGUGAGGACAGCUAGAGCAUCCGGUGAGGGCACAGCAGCAGAGGGGUUCGGGCCCACCUGGGGAGUUCGUCACCUGAGAGGGAGGGAAGGUGGAGAACAGAGCAUGAAAGGCUGUAAGGGAGCCCAAUCACUGGUGUGUUGUGGGGAGGCUCCACACGCUGUGGAGGCCACAAUCAGCUCAGGGCAGGUUGAGGGGUGGUCGGCAGAGAGCACUCAGGAAGAGGGGAGAUGUGCCCUGCUUCAUGGCUGCCAGAAGUUUGAUAAUUCCUUUAAAAUACUAACGGUAGGGGCCAGGGAUGUAGCUCAGUGGUUCCGCCGCCUGCCUCGCAAGCGCAAAGACCCGAGUUUGAUGCCCAGUACCAAAAAAACCCAAACAACAACAUAAAAAUACUAACUGUAGUUACGAACAGGAAGCUCAAUGGUGAAGAGAGCUACACCCAAGAGUAGUCUGCUAGGGAACGGCAUUAACAGAUGUUUCUGUAUCCAAGGACAGGAAGUGGAAAAGCAGGAGAGCAUUGAAAAGGGAGGGGCUCUAGGCCAGGUGGACAAGGUGACCCUGGCUGGUGCCGGCUGGACAGGGUGGAGGGGGAGGAGGUCCUGGGCCAGAGCUGAGCCUCCCCAGCCCAGUGCCCCACUUUUUCGGGGGAGUGGGAGGCAAGGGCACCUUCCGAGCACGAAGGGGUGGCCGAGAGUGGCAUAAAGGUCUCAGGAGUGGGUGGCGGAGGCCAAAACAGCUACCAUGGGGAGUGUGCUCAGAAGUCAGCUGGGGAGAGAAGGCUUUCCAGCCUGUGUCAGAGGCCCAGGUGAAACCCUAACCCUAAGGGCUGUGCCAGUGUCUCCCCCCUUUAUGUGGUUUUCUUUGGCAAAUGUGGCAGCAAUGACUAGGGUAGGGCCAAGGGCGCUUUUCUGGGCAGGUCAGGGGAGAACAAGCUGAGAAGCGGGGUGUCUUCAGCUGGGUGUCUGAGACGACUGGCCUUGGGGAAGACAGGGAGCCUUGGCUCAGCAGCCUGGGGCCAUGUCGUGCUGAGACGCCAGGCCAGGGCAGUGGUCAAGAGGAGCACUGGCCGGACAGGGGCUCGGAGCUCUGGGAUGAGUCUUGCUGAGUGGCCGGGCUGAGGAGGACAUCUGACGGGGGAGGCUGCCCAAGUGACCCAGACGAGGGAGCCCUAGAAGAAGUGGCCGUGCCCCCACCUGAAGCUGGCCCAGGACCUGCGCCCUCAGGGACCCCCUGCCCCUGCACCCUGCCCCUGCACCCUGCCCCAGCCUCAGCACUCUCCAACCCUGUCUCUCACCUCCCUCUCCUCGGGAUCCUUCUCAUCCGUCCCCAAAAUAAAGGAACCAAAAGUGGAC